rnacentral:rRNA from 1 species
AUUGAACGCUGGCGGCAGGCUUAACACAUGCAAGUCGAGCGGAGCGAGGGUGCUUGCACCUUAGCUUAGCGGCGGACGGGUGAGUAAUGCUUAGGAAUCUGCCUAUUAGUGGGGGACAACAUUCCGAAAGGAAUGCUAAUACCGCCUACGCCCUACGGGGGAAAGCAGGGGAUCUUCGGACCUUGCGCUAAUAGAUGAGCCUAAGUCGGAUUAGCUAGUUGGUGGGGUAAAGGCCUACCAAGGCGACGAUCUGUAGCGGGUCCGAGAGGAUGAUCCGCCACACUGGGACUGAGACACGGCCCAGACUCCUACGGGAGGCAGCAGUGGGGAAUAUUGGACAAUGGGCGGAAGCCUGAUCCAGCCAUGCCGCUUGUGUGAAGAAGGCCUUUUGGUUGUAAAGCACUUUAAGCGAGGAGGAGGCUACUUAGAUUAAUACUCUGGGAUAGUGGACGUUACUCGCAGAAUAAGCACCGGCUAACUCUGUGCCAGCCGCCGCCGUAAGAC